rnacentral:rRNA from 1 species
CCUACGGGUGGCAGCAGUGGGGAAUAUUGCACAAUGGGCGCAAGCCUGAUGCAGCCAUGCCGUGUGUGUGAAGAAGGCUUUCGGGUUGUAAAGCACUUUCAGCGGGGAGGAAGGCGGUGAGGUUAAUAACCUCAUCGAUUGACGUUACCCGCAGAAGAAGCACCGGCUAACUCCGUGCCAGCAGCCGCGGUAAUACGGAGGGUGCAAGCGUUAAUCGGAAUUACUGGGCGUAAAGCGCACGCAGGCGGUCUGUCAAGUCGGAUGUGAAGUCCCCGGGCUCAACCUGGGAACUGCAUUCGAAACUGGCAGGCUAGAGUCUUGUAGAGGGGGGUAGAAUUCCAGGUGUAGCGGUGAAAUGCGUAGAGAUCUGGAGGAAUACCGGUGGCGAAGGCGGCCCCCUGGACAAAGACUGACGCUCAGGUGCGAAAGCGUGGGGAGCAAACAGGGUUAGAUACCCGGUAGUC